CCUGGGAACUGCAUUCGAAACUGGCAGGCUAGAGUCUUGUAGAGGGGGGUAGAAUUCCAGGUGUAGCGGUGAAAUGCGUAGAGAUCUGGAGGAAUACCGGUGGCGAAGGCGGCCCCCUGGACAAAGACUGACGCUCAGGUGCGAAAGCGUGGGGAGCAAACAGGAUUAGAUACCCUGGUAGUCCACGCCGUAAACGAUGUCGAUUUGGAGGUUGUGCCCUUGAGGCGUGGCUUCCGGAGCUAACGCGUUAAAUCGACCGCCUGGGGAGUACGGCCGCAAGGUUAAAACUCAAAUGAAUUGACGGGGGCCCGCACAAGCGGUGGAGCAUGUGGUUUAAUUCGAUGCAACGCGAAGAACCUUACCUG
rnacentral:rRNA from 1 species